rnacentral:rRNA from 1 species
CCAAUAGCGUAUAUUAAAGUUGUUGCAGUUAAAAAGCUCGUAGUUGAAUCUCGGGAUCAAAUUGUCGGUCGUGCCUCGGUACGUACUGGUAUUAUUGGUUCCUCCCUUCUGAAGAACUGCGAUGUCAUUAAUUUGGUGUCGUGGGAAAUCAGGACUGUUACUUUGAAAAAAUUAGAGUGUUUAAAGCAAGCGCACGCUUGAAUACAUUAGCAUGGAAUAAUGAAAUAGGACGUUUGAUUCUAUUUUGUUGGUUUCUAGGAUCGACGUAAUGAUUAAUAGGGAUAGUUGGGGGCAUUAGUAUUCAAUUGUCAGAGGUGAAAUUCUUGGAUUUAUUGAAGACUAACUACUGCGAAAGCAUUUGCCAAGGAUGUUUUCAUUAAUCAAGAACGAAAGUUAGGGGAUCGAAGACGAUCAGAUACCGUCGUAGUCUUAACCAUAAACUAUGCCGACUAGGGAUCGGAUGAUGUUAAUUUUUUAAUGACUCAUUCGGCGCCUUACG